rnacentral:tRNA from 1 species
UUGGUCUUGUUAGCCAAAAGAUGAAGACUACCUCUUCCUAGAGUU